UCACCAGCCCCAGUCCUGGGUUUUGUUGUUCCCAAGAUUGUUCCAGCAACAUUCUAACUCAGUCUAAAUGUGACAGCCAGCCUCCACCUUUCUUACAUCCGAGAGCCAGAUGGCAGUGAGCGGCUGAGUGUGGGGCCUGCUAGAGAUGCAGGUUUUCCUUAGAAGCUGACAGCCAUGCUUGUUCUGGAAGUAUUAGCUUACCCAGCUCUGGGUACUAUGAACAGCGAGGUAAUUACUGCAGCCUCAUUGGUCCAUCUCAGCCAGUUAGAGGAAGGCUUUCCAAGGGGCAAAGGGACUCAUUACCCAGCCACCAGGGCCCUGACCCUCCUCCUUAGAAGUGGUGUGAGCUGCAAUUAGGGGCUUUGGAAUGGGGAUAACUGACUGCUGGGCCAUAAAUAAUGCAAUCUACCCUGUCUCGCAGUGACUGAAGCUGCCACGGUCACACGGCUUUUAGUUUGGAAACCUGGCCCUCUGUCCUCCGUGCAGCUGGUGUAGGCUGUGUGAUCUCAUGGAGUUCUUAGCCAGUGAGCCUCAGCAGCAUUCCAAUCUACAGACUAAGGCAGUACAGGUAAUGUGCUUGCAGCGGUUAGACAGGGAGAAGCAGGAGUCUGCCUCCUGUGUGCUCAUUGGCAGGAAUGAGGAUCAGGGUUAGGAUCAGCCACCUUGGAUUAUUUGGAUUUCCCACUGUGCACCGUUUGCAUCCUGCACCCUGGGGAUGGAGCCCAGGGCCUUAGAGGAAUCAAUAAAAAAUUGCCAAUUAACUUUAUUGUUAGCGAAUGGGUGUGGGUGGGACACGUGCAUGCCACAGACAGGAUGGCCAGAGGUGAAAGCCAGAGGACAAGGUUUGGGAGUUUGUAUGGGUGUUUUGUUUUGUUUUUUGUUUUUGUUUUUCCGAGACAGGGUUUCUCUGUCCUGGAACUCACUCUGUAGACCAGGCUGGCCUCGAACUCAGAAAUCCACCUGCCUCUGCCUCCCAAGUGCUGGGAUUAAAGGUGUGUGCCACCACUGCCACCACUGCCCGGUGGUUUGGGAGUUUGUGUCCCUCUACUGUGAGCUCUGGGGAUUGAACUCAGCUCAUGAGGCUUCACCAGCUUAGCCAUGUCGCUGGCCCCUUUCCCCCAACUUCUUCCCACCCUGAGCCAGCCUUGUUCUGUAAGAUGUCUUGGACUCACCCCACUGCUGGCUUUCCAGACCUCAUAGCUUCUCCAAGCCUCAGCUGUUUCCCUCCUUCACUUCCUGUCUCUCCAGAGAGGCCCUCUGCCUCCUCUCUCUAACCCAGUCAGCAGCAGACAGAGGAGCCAUUACUCCACCAGGACACGCCUUCCAGGCUGACAUUCUUGACCUCUGACUGCAUGGUCAGAGUUAUACAAAUUCUGUGUCUGUGUACAUGUGUGUAAGUACAUGUACACAUGUAGGUGUGUGGGUGUGCACACAGAGAUCAGAGGAAGCCCUGGGCUGUCAUUUAUGUCCUGUCUACCUGGUGUUUUGGGACAGGGUCUCUCUCAGGCCAGCUAGGCUGGCUAGGCCUCCCUCCACCCUGAGCACAGGGCUCUAAGGUCGCAGCACCUUGCCUGCCUUAAGAGUUCUUUUCUUCAUUUUUUUUUAAAGAUUAUUUUAUUUUAUUUUAUUUUAUAGGAGUACACUGUAACUAUCUUCAGUCACACCAGAAGAGGGCAUCAGGUCCCAUUACAGGUGGUUGUGAGCCACCAUAUGGUUGCUGGGAUUUGAACUCAGGACCUUCAGAAGAGCAGUCAGUGCUCUUACCCGCUGAGCCGGCUCUUUCCUUCUUGAGAUGUACUUUUCCCCUGGGCUCCCUCCUGUCCUUUUUUCCACCCUUGCCUUGACUGUUCCUGUGGGCUGAAGCCUCCUCUCUCCAGGCAGCCUUCAACUGCUGCUCCUGCUGUGGCUCCUGCUGGUUAUCCAGCCAGUUAUCCAGCACAUUGCCCCUGAGCUGUCCCCAGGCCAGUGUCUUUGUUGUUAGUAUCUAGUUUCUGACUCACUCCUGAUCCUUGAGUUUUACUGUAGUUUAUCCUCCUGUUAUCAGCCUCCUGUGGCUGUAACAAAGUGUCUGAAAUAAUCAACUUAUAUCAAAGUGUCUGAAACAAUCAAUUUAUCAAGAAGGAAGAUUUGGCUAGGCCGUAGCACAUGCCUUUAAUUCCAGCACUUGGGAGGGAAUGACAGAUUAAUCUCUGUGAGUUCAAGGCCAACCUGGUUUACAAUCAGGCUACACAGAGAAGCCCUAUUUC
rnacentral:lncRNA from 1 species